UCUUUGCUAAUAUUAAAUGUUCACCUACUUUCAGCCCUACCGGCCGGAUCAAUUUGUCCUCUUUUUUAUUAAAAUAAUAGCCUCCUUUUUUAUUGAUAAUACCCUGUUACUUUCCCCAUGGUACAAUAUUAAUUUCGUAAAUUAUACCCAUAAGGCUCCAAUUAUUCAUAGGGAAAAACUUAGGCGCAGUACCAUAAGUUCUGUAGGUACUGUUAGCCAAUGAAAAUAGAACACGUAUAUUAUUUUUCCCACUCACUAACUCUUUCAUUGACUCCGUUAACGUUCAUGGAUCUCUCACAUCCUUUUACCUCAAAAACAAAAGAAUAAAUCCUCUUGACUCUCCAUUCUCCCCUCUCGGACUCACUUCGAUCAUCACCCACUUGUCAAUUCUUCGUCGCCGGAUCCACCGCCCCUCGUGGUUUCUCCAUUAGUGUUGAGGGUUGAAUCAGACAAAAGGGGUAGUAGUGGCCUGUCGUCGUUAGCAUCUGAAAAAAGUGUUUUUUCCUCUUCCUUGUUCCACGAUCUCUGACUCUCUAUUAUAGUAUUAUGGGUUUACUGAUUCUCGAACAACCAGAUCAUAUGGUGAAAGAGAUCCAGUCUUUUUGUCCCUUAUAAAUCAUUCCUCUUCUCUUUCUUGAUCUUAAACCCUUAAUUUGUUCUGAUGAUGAGAAAUUUAAUGAGGCCACAAAGUCAAAAUUUAUCUAUUGUGAUGGUAACCUUCCAGAUCUGGAUACAAACCUUUCCCCCUUUUCAUGCGUAACUCUCUCAUCGCUCUGCAUCUCAAAAGCUAUUUUCAAAAUAUGUGAUGGUAGUAACUCCAUGUAAUCAAGCAAAUUUAUCAAUGAUUUCGUGAUUUUCUAUCAUAAUAUUUGUUUCAGAUCUGAAAUGGUAGUAACUUCAUGGAAGAUUAAUUUUGACUUCAACGGAAUUUCUCAAAGGAAAACAUCACUUUGGAGUUGCAGAAGUUCAAGGAAACUGAAAAAGUCUUUUUUUCGUACAUUCAUGGAAGAGUAAUUAACAGCGUGAAGUUUAUUAGAUUUGAAUAUUAACGAGGUGAAAAAAUAAUACACGUGUUCUAUAUUCAUUGGCCAACAGUACCAACAGGACUUAUGGUACUGCACCUAAGUUUUUCCCUUAUUCAUAAAGCUUAAAGUUUAAACUUUGUUCUUGUAAAACCUGUGAUUGUUUAAGAGAAAUAAACUCGGUUAAUUUCUUGGUUUAGUGUGCUUUAAUGCUUGUUUAUGUGAUCUGUAUGUGUGGUUUCGCAUGAUGAAUUUUAUCUAAUAGAAAUAAUACUUUGAUUAUUAAUAUCGAAGUUAUUUUCCAAGCGUUUCAUUCUUCUUUCCUGGGAGAAUUCAGUUGCACUUCGGAAAACGAUAGAACCGACGCGUUUUCACAUAGAGCACCUUUUUGUCAUCGAAUUAUUAUUCGGGCAUGAAUUAAAUAUUUUCCUUAUCAUUAUCAUAAUCUACGUGCAAUUUCAAGAAUUUCGACUGUACUAUCGAUAUAGGGUCGAGAAACUCGUUCGGUAGUGUUUUCGGCUCGAAAACUAGUCGAGUUCGGCUCGUAAACGAACCAAUGUGAAAUCUGAUCAGAUUUGGGAGGGAAACUCUGUAAGGGAUUUUUGUUAGUGGAAUAAGACAAGCUUGGAUUUGAAUUAAAUGGGCCAACACAAGAAGACAAAACCUUCACCAUCAACCUUUUUCCAUAAAUGGUAUGCAUGGAAGGAUGGACCAAAGCCAAACCCACAAUUCUUUCCAUUUUCGUCCAACCCUCUCCCUUAAGGCACUUCAGCUAAUUGCUUUCUCAUUUGGUGAUAGGAAUGAGUGAAAACUAGAGAGAAGAGUAAGAGAGAAGUUAGAGAGAAAGAGAGAACAUCAUCUUAAUCUUUUCAUCUUUUCUUCUCACAAAAACUGAAUCUUGACCUUGAUCACCUCUAAACACCAUCAAGAACUCACCUUUUGUCUUUCGUUCCUUCACAAAAUAGUUAGCAUUCAAGGUGAAGAACACCUUGUUGAUUUCGUUAUGAGGAGCUAAAGCUUGGAAGGAAAGCGUUCAAGGUAAGGGCACUUCGGGUCUUGGACUUUAGCGUGCAAAAUUGUCUACUAAGAUUGUAUGAAACUUGUAUGAUAAAUGAUGAGCAUGCUAAUGCCAUGAGAAACUAAUGGAGAUGGAUUUAGUAUGAUAUAUGAACCUUAUAAUCAUGUAAAGGGACUAAAAUGUUAAGGCUUGGGCUAAAAAUCAAGUUAAGAAAAGGUAUGAAACGCGAAAGAGGUACAGGACCGCGAUGCAUGUGCAUGGGUAAGUGGCGCACAUGUGUGGGAGACAUGUAGCUAUGGCUCAUGUGCGUGGGUAGAUGGCGCACAUGCAUGGGGCUACUGUCCCUUCAACACCAAGUGACGUCUUUUGCUACUUUUGAAUUGUUUUGUAGGCACCUAUGGUUAAGGGUUGUAUCAUUGAAUUUUACGCAUGAUAUACAUGAAUUUUAUGAGUUAAGAAUGCAUGAUUAACAUGAGAAAUUUAUUAUGAACAUGAUGAGUUAAGGAUGGCUUAUAUGCUUAGAUGUUUAAAUAACAUGAAUACGAAUGAUGUAGUGCUUGCAUGCCUUGAUGUUUGAGAACAAGAAUACUUGAUGAACAUAACAUGCUGAACCUUAGAAUAUCUAUGAGGAGUAUAUGUCUUGCUUUAAGUUCACAUGAUGAUUAUGAAGUAUGCUUGAUAGUUAUCAAUUUGUAUGCGAUGCAUGAGUGAUGUUGAUCGAUCGAGAAUCGAAUGUGAAACCUAAGAUGGUCGUGAUGGAAUGGAUGUGGAGGUUUUCGAUCGUGGCGGGGUCGGGCAGCAGCGUCAUGGUGCUGAUCAUCGUCAUCCAUCCACACUGUUCUGUGACAGGAUCUCAGGGAUGGUGACAUAUAGUCAGGGCCUGAUUCUUCUGUUGUGCUGGAUAUUAUGGAUUGGACUACCGAUGGGGUUUGGCUACCUAUGUCGUUCUUAAGGAUUUUGAGGCGAGAAUGGAUGCUUUGCGACGCGGGGACUAUGCGCCUUUUGAGAGGCGUGAUAUUCAAAUGUCUUUCUAGUGGUUUAUACCUUGAGAUAUACAUAAAUCUUUAUUGUACAUGUUGAUGUGUCACUAUGGAGGGCAGGGGCAAUGUCACAGAAAGAACAUUAAUUAAAGUGAUAAACUGUAAAACUGAUUUUAUGUUAAUGGACGUGUCAGACCGUGGGGGAAAUGUAAUGCAAAGAGAAACAAAAUUAAAGUGAUAAACAAUAAAAAAGAUUAUAUUAGCAUAACAUUUUAUGGCAACAACCCCUUACUUCGAACGAACAUUCGUCAAUGCUUGCUCACACCUCUCGAAGAAAAUGGAGAUAGAGCACUUCACAUAAGACUUAGGAGUGUGUACACUAAAAGAGCAUUAUAUUCAUCUCAAUUAGCUUUUGCCACAACACCGGCGCUAAUUAGUGGUGCCCACUAGGGUGGGCAAGGUUUUUUUUGGUCUACCGGUGCACCACAUUUAAGCACCGUUAGAUUAAAGAAUAUUCUAAGAAUCUUUAAUUGAACGGUUAGGAUUGAAUGGAUGGUAAAAGGACAAAAAUGUAAUAUUCUUUAUCUUAUUAAUUAAAAAAAAUACAUAAGUUCUAAUUUUAUCUUUUAUCUUUCAUGAAUUAAAGCACCAGUCAUCUUCAUCUUCUCCAUCUUCUUGUGAUUUCAAUCCAAACUUAGUUAGUAGGUGCUUUUCAAAUCAUGCAAUCUAGUAAGUUUAUUGCUGAUUUGGUAAGAGAGGUUCCUACGUGAAGUUUUAAACAUGACACACUGGGUGGGGCAAUUAAAAUGAAAACAAAAAAAUCUGAAGAAAACGAAACACGCUCACAGGAAAGAAAGAAGCAAAGGGAAAACAAAACAAAGGAGAUUAUCGAGCUUCUUGGAGAUUAACUCGCUUUUCACCGUUUUCGAACAAUUUAUCGAAACCCUUUAGGGAUGGGUUCUGUUCUGGUCUAAGGUAUAACAAUAGGAAUAAAGUACCCUUGAUAAACCCUAGCAGAGCUAAAAUAAGUAAGCAAUAUGUAUAUAAGGAAAUUAUCUCAUAAAUGGUAAAAAAGAUCCCUAGUACAAGGUGAGGACACCAUUUUUAUAGUAGGAGUGAUCCUUAUCUAGAAUGUUCAUGGAUUUGGGCCUUACAUGUAGGGCCCAAAUCCCUAUGCUGAAUAAGACAAAUGCAUAUGUGCACAAUAUAACAAGACAAAACAACUCGGGCCCACAUCUUCAAGUUGGGGUCUACGUCCUAAUCAACUUAGUGUUGGCCUUACCGGGCGAGUCAACGGGCUUGUAAUGACCCGCCCGGUCCACAAGCCCACAAGACAUGAAGCUCCAUCUUUUCUGGAACUGAAAUGUCUUAGUCAAAGCAAAAAUAUUCUUGCAGCCCUUUACGCGAUCGCUCCGCCUUAUCUGACCUAGCCCACAAGCCCAUAAGACAAGAGGCUUCACUUCUUUUGGGGACUGCUUGUUUUGUGGAAUUCCCGCCAGGUCGCCCAAACUAUUCGACUGGUGUCGUUUCAUCUAACGUUGCACCGUUACCGAAAAGUUGUCAUCAUUAGCAUUCAACUGCAGCAGUCUUUUCACGCGGGAUUCGAGCGAUUGCCUCGAUUUGCGAAAACGUUCGAAAAUGGUCACGUCUUUUCCACUUUCCUUCUCUCUCCUUACUUGACUUCCCUAUAAAACCCCAAAUCCUCACUUUUCAUUCUCUUUUACUGCUCCUUACUUUCAACCCUUGUCCUUCUGUUGGAGUUCUCUGUUCUCAGCGGCCGCUUGCUACUCCGGUGACUUUUCAGUGCUCCGACCACCAUUGCUUGCUGCAUUCCUAUUACUUCGCCUAUCUUCGGUCAGUUCCUCUCUUUUCUCUUUACUUUUCUUGUUUUUCCGUUCAUCUCCUUUUCAUGAAGCUUCCCAAAAUGUCUGCAAAAGGCCAAUCUUGCUCUUCUCUUUCCCUUGAUUCUGUUUCUGAUGAUGAUGACAAAACCACCGUUAACCAAAAGGUUAUUACGGUUGACUCUGACUCUGAGUCCCACAACUCGCCCUCUUCCUCAGAUCCCGCCCAAGAAAGACAGCCUUUAUAACCUCUCACCUUUCCACCGAUAACCCCUCGACUUCUGAAGGUUGGCGCACUAGUGACAAGUGUAUUGAUGACAAGUGUCUCUAUCGUUCCGUUUGGAACAGUGUUCAAGCACUGAACAAUAAUCGCCUUACCGCCCGGGGUUUCACCAGGGUGAACUCCGAAACCGGCCAUAACGACGACCUAUCCUUGAACGUCGCCCCUUGCGAUGACAAUGAAGUCGUAACCCUUAAACCUUCUGGAGCCGACGGAGAGCCCGCCUGGUUCUAUCUUCAUGGAUAUAUUUUUACCGAGCUUUUCAUGAAGCUUCCAUUUUCCAACUUUGUCUGUGACGUGCUUACUUUCCUAAAUGUCGCCCCCUGCCAGCUUCUACCGAACGCCUGGGGCUUCAUUCAUUGCUUUGAGUUGUUGUGUGAGCAGCUAAACUUUGCCCCCACUUACCCUUUAUUUUUCUUUUUCUAUAAGACUAGCAUCGCCAAACCUUCUUGCGUGUCUUUUGUUCCUUUGUCGGCCCGCCCCAAUAUGGCCAUUUUCAAACCCUUAAAGAGUAACUUUUAACACUGGCAAAAAAAGUUUUUUAAGAUCGUUCACUCGCCCGAAAUUCCAAACCUCAUAUUUGAACAAAAGGACCACCCCUUGUUUCCUCUACAUUGGACCGUGAACCCUCGGUGGGAUAUCACUGUCGUGCUAGAGGCGCUGACCGAGGAGGAGAAACAGGUCGCCUUAUACAUCCUUACCCUUCCUCAAAUUUCCUGUUCUGACCUUCUUCAGGCCACCAAAGAUGAGAAACUUCCGAACCUUUUUGGUAAGUCUAGAUUUAUUGUGUAUGCCUUGUAAUGAGCUUUCCUUGAUCGCCUGUUAUUAACUAGUGCUUUUUUUUUUUUUACUGUUCGCAGCUGAAAUGGGCAAGUCCAAGGGCGGCGUCAAUGCUGACAGCAUGCAAGCCUUAAUCGCCAGUCAGGUCGAUGCUGCUAAGGGACACAGGAAAACAAGAAGAAAGAUUUGAAGGGUGACAAGAAGAAUAAGUCGCCCUUGGUUGAUGAGCGUGAC